AAAAAAAAAAUCUAAAAACGCUUCUUCGGUGAAAGCAAACGACUUAUUCAAAAACGCUUCUUCGGUGAAAGCUAACGACUUAUUCAAAAACGCUUCUUCGGAGAAGUACCUUUUUAGCGAUUGAACAGAAGCUAUGGAAACCUAGAAACGCUCCACCGAUUGAAGAUUCACAACCACAAAAGUUAUUCUCGCCGUUCUUCUGAGUACAUAGACGACGACGGUGAUUCUCGCCGUUCUUCUCGCACGCUCUAUUAAUUGAAUUUUUGCUGUUUCGUUUUGUUUAAUUGUGGUUUAUUUUUGAAGUGUUUGUUUACUGGUUAUGCUGAAUGCUGCUGAUAUUUCUUUUUGUGGCAGAUUUAGGGUUUAUUAGAAUGGUUUUUGCAUGCUGCGUUAGAAAUUAGUACAGCACAGAAUGAUUGUAGUUCAAACUCUAGUAAGCAAUGAACUCCAACAUCUAUCCUUCAUGCCCUGCAUUGCUGAUUGAAGGAAUUCUAAGCCAAAAUCAUGGUUUAUGUGUCUUUUAGGUUGCUUAAUUAUAUAUGGUCACUAUAAUUGUGAAUGAUAUCUUAAAAUAGGAGUUAUAGUCAUUGCAUAAAUAUGAGUUGAAUUUGGUGAUAAGGCAUAUAUAUGGUUGUAUGUGCAUAUUAAAUUUAACUGAUGGUGAUAAGGCGUAUACUAAUAUACUAGUAUGGACUUAGGUGCAAGAGGGAGCUCUGGAGGGUUCAGUACGCUCUUAGUCGGAUCUGUAACAAUGAAAGGAAUCUGUUGACACUGGAUGAGAAGAACCCUCAUCGGAUCUUUGAAGGUGAAGCACUUUUGAGGAGAAUGUUUCAAUAUGGUCUUCUUGAUGAAACUCAGAAACCAUAUCUUUUACUUAAUCUUUGUUUUUUGAGGCUCGCUACUGCUAGGAGUGAUAACAGUUUUUGGGGUGAAUCUUCCUAAAUAUUUUCAAGCUUGUAGUCUAAAUGAAGACCGUGGCGGAACACGAAUCAUCCACUGUUUCUGACAGUAGCUUCAGUACCUCUUCACACACUGACACAAAGGCUUGUUAAAUUAAUUAAUUCUAUUGGAUGUGGAUUAAUUAAUUAAAGAGAUUAGUUUCAUUACGGUGCAGAAGUUAAUUAAGGCGGAGGACCAGUACAGAGAAUGGAGAGAGCUACUGCAGAAGUGUGAUAAAUUACUAAACAGUAUAGCGGAAAUAACUGAGUUACAACAACCGAGUCCCGUAUUAGUUCUUGACUCGUAGUUUACAAAGACGACUCGUCGUGCUCACCAUCUCUAGUAAUGAAAAGAUGCAUUGAAUAUAAAGAUGGGGCAUUAUGCUGCUGUAUGGAACUUUAGAGCAGCAGCUGAACUUACAAAGGGCUGGAAUGGAAUUGAUCAAGUUGUACUUCGGACGCCACAAGGUACUUUGGCACGGGUUGUACUCACGAAAGAUGUUAAGGAUGACUUGGCCGAAGAACUAGAUGCCAUUUUUAUAGUUUUUUACAUAGCGGUCAUUAUCUUCAGGGCGUUGCUGUAGAAGAGAUCAAUCGUAUAUGCAGAUUGGCUGGUUGUCUUCUUGCAGUUCUUUAUGGAGUCAACAUCAACAGUUAUUGCACAUGGUGUCCAUAUGUCGACUGUAUCCCUUUCACAAGCUGGCACUGCAAAGACAAAGAAACCUUUUGUGAGCAUUACAUUGUAUCAAAAUCUAUAUUUUGAGGGACUAUAUCUUCUUCAUCAAUUGCAAGUGCCAUGAUUAAUCUUAUUCCAGGAGUUACAUUUGUAAUAGCAGCCUUUGUAGGGUAAUUAAUAACUAACUUAACUUAUUUUCAUUAUUCAAUCAAAAUUCAAGCAAAUAUGUUUCAAUUAAGUCAGUACUAUCUACAUUCAUCAUAACGUAAAUAUGUUUCAAUAUCGGGUUAAAGUAGGGGUGUUCAAAAAUAUGGUUAACUGAAUUGUAUAUUAGAACUGAAUUGCAUUGCACUAUUAAAAAGCUUAACUACUUAAAUGGUUAAUGAACUGAACCAUUUAAUUUAAACAAUUCAAAUUCAGUUUAAAACCGGUUCUAAACCAGUUUUGUUUUAUAAACUGGUUCGAAAAUAUUUGUUUUUUCCUAAAACCAAAAAUAAUAAUUUAGCACAAAAAAAAUAUUUUUAUAAAAUAUUUAUUUCAUAAAAAUUAAAAAAAUCUAAAAAUAAUUUUUUUUGAAAAAUUUAAAAUAAUUAGAGAACCGUCCCUUUCUCUUUCAAUUUCCAAACUCCACGUUUUUGUUUCCUUCCCCUGUUCUCACAAUUCCAUUCUCAGCUUUCCUCUGUUCCAAUCUUUCUCUCCUACUCGAUUCUCUCUCACACUCUUCUCAAACUCAAGUUUCAGAAAAACAAAUAGCUCUCAAACACAGUCCCUAAACAUUCACAUACCAAAGUAUCAACAAUGAAGACAAAAAGUUCUAGCAACAAACAACAAUAACCGCUAAUCAAGUGAUGCCAGUCGAGAUGAGACAAGAUUUUACUGUAACAACAAACGUCUAAUUCUAAAAACUGUAGCUUUUUAUCUUUCGUUUUUUUUUU